rnacentral:lncRNA from 1 species
UUUAAGGAUUGUAUAGGCGCAAUAGAUGGAACACAUGUUGCAGCUUGGGCUCCUGCAUCGAGACAAACAUCUUUUCGAGGAAGGAAAAUUAAUGUAACACAAAAUGUGAUGUUGACAUGUGAUUUUGAUAUGAAAUUCACAUUUGUGUACUCUGGUUGGGAAGGUACUGCUAAUGAUUCGCGAGUAUUCGUUGAUGCAGUAACAAGAAGCUCGAACAACUUUCCAAUGCCACGAGGAGGUAUAUUCUUAUACUUCAAAUAAUUAUUGUGAAUAUAUUUACAGUGUCACAUUAUGUAAGUCUUUUUUUUAUUUUGCAGAUCAAUUUUACCUUGUUGAUUCUGGAUAUCCAAACAUGCCUGGAUUUCUUGCCCCUUAUCGAGGUCAAAGAUAUCAUCUGCGUGAUUAUGUUGGACGGGGAAGACUACGUGGGAAGGAAGAAGUGUUCAAUUAUAGACACUCCUCGUGCCGUAAUAUUAUUGAACGUUGCAUCGGAGUUUUAAAGGCAAGAUUUCCUAUUUUGAAGUUGAUUACCAAUUAUCCACUCAGUAGGCAAAGACAAAUCCCUACUGCAUGUUGCGCAAUAAACAACUUUAUUCGUCAGGAGCACGCAUUAGAUAAGUUGUUCGUAGAGUAUUCAGAGGAGAAUAUGGUGUUUCAAAACAUACCAGAGUCAAGUCAAGAUCAAGAAGUCAUACAUUUUGAUGCUAGUCAAACUGCUCAAAUGGGACAAGUCAGGGAUCAAAUUGCUACACAAAUGUGGAAUGACUACUCAAGACAUCGUACAUGAUUUCGUGGAUGUAGUUUAAAUUUUGUUUAGUGUCUUUUUGUUUUGCUAUGACACGUAAACUUCUAAUAGUAUCUAUUGAACUGUGUUGCCAAAUUUAAUUUAGGUUGUGUUUUUUAUAUCUG